rnacentral:ncRNA from 1 species
UAAUUUUAGAUUAAAUAGGAAUACUUACUAAAUUUAAAUAGAUUAAUAAGUAGAGGAAAAGAAACUAAUAGGGAUUAUUUUAGUAAUAAUAAGUAAAAUAAUAAUAAUUUAAAUUUGAAGUCUAGUUUUUAAAGUUUAAGUUAUAAUUUAUAGAAGAUACUUUAGAUAUAAUACUUUCUAAAUUCUUCAGAAUGAGAUAUUAUAAAAAGUAAGAGUUUUAUAUAGUUAGAUAUUAAAUUUAUAUAACACUUUUUAAUAAGUUGAAUAAUUUAGGAAUACUAUUUAAAAUAAGAAAUAUAUUUCUUUUAAAACUAAAUAUUAACUAAAAACUAAUAAUAUAUAAAUGGAAUAAUUAAAAGAUAAAACGUAUUUUAAAAAGAAAGUUAAAUAAUAUAUAAAAUUAUUCAAAGAGAAGUAUUUAUAACUAGAUUUAUACCUAGUAGAUUACUUAGUUUUUAUAGUUAGAAUAUUCUACUAGUUUAAAUUAGUAUUAUCUUAUUAUUAGGAAUAAAGGUUUUAGGAAUAUAAUUCUUUCUAGGGAGUAUUAUAGCUUAUUAUAUAAUACUUUUUAGUAGGCUAAAGUAUAUAUUCUAUAAGGAUAUUAAUAUAAUAGUUAUUAGUAACUUAUUUUAAAAUAUAAACUAAAGAGUUAAUUUUAUAUAUAAAUAUUUAAAUAUUAAACUUUUAUAUAUAAUAAAAGUAAAUAUAAAUAAGAGUUUUAGUAUAUUAUUAACUAAUCCUAAUAUUUCUAGAUAGAUUUGGGUAAAAAUAUAUAGAAUUAGAUUUAAAAGAAAGUAAACUAUAUAUAUAUAGGGUAAAACUAGAAGGAAUUCUAAUAGAAGCUUAUAAUAAUUCUAAUAUAUAAAUUAAUUAUUAAAUAUAUAUAUAGGAGUAAAAGACUAAUCAAACUUUCUAAUAACUAGUUUCUAUUAAAGCUUCUUUUAGGAUAGUAAUAUUAAACUUAGUUUUAUAAAGUAAAAUAAAUAAUUAGAAACUUAGGAACGCUAUAUUACUUUUAUUUAUUUCUAAAUUUUGAAUAUAUAAAAAGUCUUUAUUAUUUAGUUAAAUAUAAGUAUUUUAAUAUAUUAAUAUUAGUAAGCUAUUUUUAAUAAGUAGAACUAAUAAUAUAGGAUAAAUUAAAUAUAAAAUUAAAAUAUUAAAAUAGAUACUUAUUAGAUAUUAUAAAAAGUAUUAGUAUAUUCUAAUAGUAAAAUAGUAGUUAUAGAAGUUAGAAUCUGCUAAAAAUUAUAUAAUAACUUACUUAUUAAAUAUACUAAUUCUGAAAAUAGAUAGUAUUUAAGCAUUUUACUUAUAUUUUAUUUUUAAUAUAGAAAUAAUAUACGAAGGAGUAGGUAGAUAUAAAAAUUAGUAAUAAAACUUAGGAUAUAAAUCUAAAUAGAAUAACUUCUAAUAUAAAUCUUAAUAGUAGUAGUAAAUAUUUUAAUAAGAAUUUAAAAAACUAAAAUAAAAAAAGGUUUUAUAU